GACGAACGCUGGCGGCAUGCUUAACACAUGCAAGUCGAACGGGAAGUGGUGUUUCCGGUGGCGGCCGGGGGGGUAACGCGGAAGAACUUGCCCUUGGGAGGGGAAAAACAGCUGAAAGCGGUUCCUAAUACGCCGUAGGCUGAGGGGCAAAAGGGGGAAUGCGCCUGGGGAGGGGCUCGCUUCAGAUUAGCGAGGGGGUGGGGCAAGAGCUUAACGAGGCGGUGAUCUAUAGGGUGUGAGAGGAUGAGAACCGACACACUGAGAGUGAGACACGGCACAGUCCCCUGCGAGACGGCGGUGGGGAAUAUUCCGCAAUGUGCGAGAGAGUGACGUACAAAUGCGGCGUGGAGGUAGUAGGCGUACGGGUCGUGAACUUCUUUUCCAGGAGAAGAAACAAUGCCGGUAUCUGGGGAAUAAGCUCCGGCUAACUCUGUG
rnacentral:rRNA from 1 species